rnacentral:lncRNA from 1 species
GGGGCCGAUCUCCGGGCUGCUCUUCCCUCCUCGGCGGUUCAGGUUGCGGCAGGGCCCUUGGAAGUAGGGUCGGAGCCUCCGGGCUGCAAUCAACAGGGCGUAAGUUAGUUUCUCUAAUUUAGUAUACCUGGUUUCGGCAUCUCUCAAUGCACGACUGACGUAGUAGAUCAGUCAUUGAAUUUUUGCCUCUUCCUUAACGAGGACUGCUGCAAGAGCCAUAGGGGAGACCGCCAGGUACAAAAACAGCUCCUCUCCAGGUUCGGACUUCGCCAACAACGGAGGCGAGCUG